UACGAAGUGGGCUAGCGUUGCUCGGAAUCACUGGGCGUAAAGGGCGCGUAGGCGGCCAUUCAAGUCAGAGGUGAAAGCCCAAGGCUCAACCUUGGAACUGCCUUUGAUACUGUUUGGCUUGAGACCGGUAGAGGUAAGUGGAACUGCGAGUGUAGAGGUGAAAUUCGUAGAUAUUCGCAAGAACACCAGUGGCGAAGGCGGCUUACUGGACCGGUUCUGACGCUGAGGCGCGAAAGCGUGGGGAGCAAACAGG
rnacentral:rRNA from 1 species